UACGUUUUUUUUCAGACACAUACAUAUGUACAUAUGUGUGUGUAUAUAUGAGUGACAACGACAACGCUUUAUAUGAUUGAACUCUUAAACGGCCGAAGCCCCCUUGGCACCCGCCUGUCAUCUGGUCCAACGAACACAAACAGAAAGGCUCAUAAAUGAUGUGCGUGUGUGUGUGUGUGGGAGAGUGUUGUUUUCCGAUCAGGGCUGGAGCCAUCAUAUGAAAAGAGGCGUCACAGCAAGGUGCAAUCUCGACUAUCAAAACAACUGAUGCAUAAGGCACAGAGCUCAAAAAAGUCCAUUCAGAGCUAACCAAACAAUCUAGGAAAUGGCAACGGCAAUGGCAAUUGAAGCACGUUAAAAAUAAAUAGCUGCUAAAUCGUGACACAAUAAAAUUAAUCCCAAA